UACGGAGGGUGCAAGCGUUAUCCGGAUUCACUGGGUUUAAAGGGUGCGUAGGCGGACAGGUAAGUCAGUGGUGAAAUCUCUGGGCUUAACCCAGAAACUGCCGUUGAUACUAUUUGUCUUGAAUAUCCUGGAGGUAGGCGGAAUAUGUCAUGUAGCGGUGAAAUGCUUAGAUAUGGCAUAGAACACCGAUAGCGAAGGCAGCUUACUACAGGAUGAUUGACGCUGAGGCACGAAAGCGUGGGGAGCAAACAGG
rnacentral:rRNA from 1 species